rnacentral:rRNA from 1 species
UACCAAAUCUUGACAUCCUUUGACAACUCUAGAGAUAGAGCCUUCCCCUUCGGGGGACAAAGUGACAGGUGGUGCAUGGUUGUCGUCAGCUCGUGUCGUGAGAUGUUGGGUUAAGUCCCGCAACGAGCGCAACCCUUAAGCUUAGUUGCCAUCAUUAAGUUGGGCACUCUAAGUUGACUGCCGGUGACAAACCGGAGGAAGGUGGGGAUGACGUCAAAUCAUCAUGCCCCUUAUGAUUUGGGCUACACACGUGCUACAAUGGACAAUACAAAGGGCAGCGAAACCGCGAGGUCAAGCAAAUCCCAUAAAGUUGUUCUCAGUUCGGAUUGUAGUCUGCAACUCGACUACAUGAAGCUGGAAUCGCUAGUAAUCGUAGAUCAGCAUGCUACGGUGAAUACGUUCCCGGGUCUUGUACACACCGCCCGUCACACCACGAGAGUUUGUAACACCCGAAGCCGGUGGAGUAACCUUUUAGGAGCUAGCCGUCGAAGGUGGGACAAAUGAUUGGGGUGAAGUCGUAACAAGGUAGCCGUAUCGGAAGGUGCGGCUGGAUCACCUCCUUUCUAAGGA